rnacentral:rRNA from 1 species
AUGAACGCUGGCGGCGUGCCUCAUACAUGCCAGUCGAGCGAACGGACGAGAAGCUUGCUUCUCUGAUGUUAGCGGCGGACGGGUGAGUAACACGUGGAUAACCUACCUAUAAGACUGGGAUAACUUCGGGAAACCGGAGCUAAUACCGGAUAAUAUUUUGAACCGCAUGGUUCCAAAGUGAAAGACGGUCUUGCUGUCACUUAUAGAUGGAUCCGCGCUGCAUUAGCUAGUUGGUAAGGUAACGGCUUACCAAGGCAACGAUGCAUAGCCGACCUGAGAGGGUGAUCGGCCACACUGGAACUGAGACACGGUCCAGACUCCUACGGGAGGCAGCAGUAGGGAAUCUUCCGCAAUGGGCGAAAGCCUGACGGAGCAACGCCGCGUGAGUGAUGAAGGUCUUCGGAUCGUAAAACUCUGUUAUUAGGGAAGAACAUAUGUGUAAGUAACUGUGCACAUCUUGACGGUACCUAAUCAGAAAGCCACGGCUAACUACGUG